rnacentral:rRNA from 1 species
UACGGGGGGGGCAAGCGUUGUUCGGAAUUACUGGGCGUAAAGGGCUCGUAGGUGGCCAACUAAGUCAGACGUGAAAUCCCUCGGCUUAACCGGGGAACUGCGUCUGAUACUGGAUGGCUUGAGUUCGGGAGAGGGAUGCGGAAUUCCAGGUGUAGCGGUGAAAUGCGUAGAUAUCUGGAGGAAUACCGGUGGCGAAGGCGGCAUCCUGGACCGACAUUGACGCUGAGGCGCGAAAGCUAGGGGAGCAAACGGG